rnacentral:tRNA from 2 species
AGCUUUAUAUUCAAAAAAUGAUAUUAGAUUGCAAAUCUAAAGGUGUAUUUUACUAAAGCUU